ensembl:lncRNA
UGUAAACAAACAUCCUGAGAAAGUAAAUGAUCUUUCUUCGAACCCAAUUUAUUAACACACAAGGUCCAAAAAAACACUACUAAGGGUCUUCAGAAGACGCAAUAGUUCCUGUCUUUGACUUCAGGGAAUAGGGUGGUCAAUACACUGCAGAUCUAAUGAGAGUGACAGACAGAAACAUGGCUAGAAAAUAAGAGAAUCAGUACAACUACCAGCUAAAGAAGGGAAUAAAAAGAAGCCAGGCAGUGAUUGAGUGACUGUGUUCUUUAUAAUCGUGAGAGAUAUACAAACGAGAAAAACAAACAGAAAAAAACUAAAAAGGAGGUGGAGGGGAUGUGGAGGGGAUAUGGAGGGGAUAUGGAGGGGAUGUGGAGGGGAUAUGGAGGGGAUGUGGAGGGGAUAUGGAGGGGAUAUGGAGGGAUGUGGAGGGGAUAUGGAGGGGAUGUGGAGGGAUAUGGAGGGAUGUGGAGGGGAUGUGGAGGGGAUGUGGAGGGGAUGUGGAGGGGAUAUGGAGGGGAUGUGGAGGGGAUGUAGAGGGAAGGGAAGGUGGAGGGGAUAUGGAGGGGAUGUGGAGGGGAUAUAGAGGGGAUAUAGAGGG